GACGAACGCUGGCGGCGUGCUUAACACAUGCAAGUCGAACGAUGAAGCUAGAGCUUGCUCUGGUGAAUUAGUGGCGAACGGGUGAGUAACACGUGAGUAACCUGCCCCGAACUCUGGGAUAACUGCUGGAAACGGUAGCUAAUACUGGAUACGACCUACGAAGGCAUCUUCUGUAGGUGGAAAGAAUUUCGGUUCGGGAUGGACUCGCGGCCUAUCAGCUUGUUGGUGAGGUAAUGGCUCACCAAGGCGACGACGGGUAGCCGGCCUGAGAGGGUGACCGGCCACACUGGGACUUAAACGCGGCCCAGACUCCUACGGGAGGCAGCAGUGGGGAAUAUUGCACAAUGGGCGCAAGCCUGAUGCAGCAACGCCGCGUGAGGGAUGACGGCCUUCGGGUUGUAAACCUCUUAGUAGGGAAGAAGCGAAAGUGACGGUACCUGCAGAAAAAGCACCGGCUAACUACGUGCCAGCAGCCGCGGUAA
rnacentral:rRNA from 1 species